GUGGGGAAUUUUGGACAAUGGGGGCUACCCUGAUCCAGCAAUGCCGCGUGCAGGAAGAAGGCCUUCGGGUUGUAAACUGCUUUUGUACGGAACGAAACGGUCCUGGUUAAUACCUGGGGCUAAUGACGGUACCGUAAGAAUAAGCACCGGCUAACUACGUGCCAGCAGCCGCGGUAAUACGUAGGGUGCAAGCGUUAAUCGGAAUUACUGGGCGUAAAGCGUGCGCAGGCGGUUUUGUAAGACAGGCGUGAAAUCCCCGGGCUCAACCUGGGAAUGGCGCUUGUGACUGCAAGGAUGGAGUGCGGCAGAGGGGGAUGGAAUUCCGCGUGUAGCAGUGAAAUGCGUAGAUAUGCGGAGGAACACCGAUGGCGAAGGCAAUCCCCUGGGCCUGCACUGACGCUCAUGCACGAAAGCGUGGGGAGCAAACAGGAUUAGAUACCCUAGUAGUCC
rnacentral:rRNA from 1 species